AAGACCUUGCAUACUCAAACCUUGCAUACUCUUUUAUAAACUUUUUGGAUGUUUGAAAAAAUGAUUAUAAAAUCCGUCGCAAAAGUAGAAAGCAGCACCGCACAAAAUUCUAUAACUCUUUAGAACACAAAAAAGGAGUCUUAAUUAAUAGAGAAACGUUUAAACUUAAAAUAGCAAUGCAGACCUUUUUUUUUUUAAUUAAACAAUAAUAAGGCCCUACGCAAAUGAGCAGCUUUGCAAAUAAAAAAAAAUUACCAUUUUUUAAAAGCAAAAGAAGUCUAGAAACUACCGCAAAGAAACGUCUAAAUUAAAAGAUCGAUUGCUCCAGAUUAACACUUAGGGUCAAAUAAGGUGUCAGUUAAAGCCUUAUACUCCAAUAAAAGUUACGUUAAUUUGAUUUUUUUACAUUCAGGAUGAAAAUGUUUCUGACAUUGAUUUUUAUGUUUUUAAUGGUUUUGCCGUUAGCAAAUGCUAGAGACUGGAGAUUUGGUGACAAUGGUCUAACCCGAUGGGAUUUUAACUGCGAUUUUAACAGAAAAGAUUUUAGCGUCGUAGCUACAGCAGGUGAAAACUGUGGCAGUACCUGCAUUGCAAAUUCUCACUGUACUCAUUUCACCCACUCAAAGGGAAUUUGUUAUUUAAAACAUUAUGCUGGCAGCGAUUGGCGAGAAAUAUAUGCUGGAGGUGAUGCUGUAUGUGGUUGGAUUAUUCGUCGUAGCGGACAACCUAAUAAAUAAAUACAGACAACUUAAUUGUUAAAAAAGACUUUAUGAGACGCCAUUGUUAUAUGUAGUUUUAUUUAAAAAGUUUUUUUUUCACAAAA